UACGUAGGUGGCAAGCGUUGUCCGGAAUUAUUGGGUUUAAAGGGUGCGUAGGUGGCCUGUUAAGUCAGGGGUGAAAGACGGUAGCUCAACUAUCGCAGUGCCCUUGAUACUGAUGGGCUUGAAUGAACUAGAGGUAGGCGGAAUGUGACAAGUAGCGGUGAAAUGCAUAGAUAUGUCACAGAACACCAAUUGCGAAGGCAGCUUACUAUGGUUUUAUUGACACUGAGGCACGAAAGCGUGGGGAUCAAACAGG
rnacentral:rRNA from 1 species